AAGGUCUUCGGAUCGUAAAGUUCUGUUGAGAGGGAAAAAAGGGUACACCAGAGGAAAUGCUGGUGAAGUGAUAUUACCUUUCGAGGAAGUCACGGCUAACUACGUGCC
rnacentral:rRNA from 1 species